rnacentral:rRNA from 1 species
GAUUAUAGCAAUAUUAUCAAAGAGGAGUGGCGAACGGGUGAGUAACACGUAGAUAAUCUGCCUUCAGACGGGGACAACUCAGGGAAACUUGUGCUAAUACCCGAUGAGACCACAAGAAGGGAUUUUUGUGGCCAAAGGCGGGCAAGCAAUGCUCGUGCUGAAAGAUGAGUCUGCGUCCUAUCAGCUAGUUGGUGGGGUAAAUGCCUACCAAGGCUAAGACGGGUAGCCGGCCUGAGAGGGUGAACGGCCACACUGGGACUGAGACACGGCCCAGACUCCUACGGGAGGCAGCAGUGAGGAAUUUUCCGCAAUGGGCGCAAGCCUGACGGAGCGACGCCGCGUGAGGGGAAUGACAGCUUUCGGGUUGUAAACCUCUUUUAUUAAGGAAAAAGAUCUAUAUGCUAAUAUCAUGUAGAUUUGAUGGUACUUAUUGAAUAAGCCCCGGCUAACUACGUGCCAGCCGCAGC